rnacentral:rRNA from 1 species
CGGCGGUACGGGUGAGUAAUGCCUAGGAAAUUGCCCUGNAUGUGGGGGAUAACCAUUGNNAACGAUGGCUAAUACCGCAUGAUGCCUACGGGCCAAAGAGGGGGACCUUCGGGCCUCUCGCGUCAGGAUAUGCCUNGGUGGAAUUANCUAGUUGGUGAGGUAAGGGCUCACCAAGGCGACGAUCCCUANCUGGUCUGAGAGGAUGAUCAGCCACACUGGAACUGAGACACGGGUCCANACUANUACGGGAGGCAGCAGUGGGGAAUAUUGCACAAUGGGCGCAAGCCUGAUGCAGCCAUGCCGCGUGUAUGAAGAAGGCCUUCNGGUUGUAAAGUACUUUCAGCAGUGAGGAAGGUUCAUACGUUAAUAGC